UACGUAGGGGGCUAGCGUUGUCCGGAAUCAUUGGGCGUAAAGCGCGCGUAGGCGGCCCGGUAAGUCCGCUGUGAAAGUCAAAGGCUCAACCUUUGAAUGUCAGCGGAUACUGCCGGGCUAGAGUCCGGAAGAGGCGAGUGGAAUUCCUGGUGUAGCGGUGGAAUGCGCAGAUAUCAUGAGGAAGACCAGUGGCGAAGGCGGGUCUCUGGACAGUUCCUGACACUGAGACACGAAGGCCAGGGGAGCAAACGGG
rnacentral:rRNA from 1 species